UCGGGAAUUUUGGGCAAUGGGGGAAACCCUGACCCAGCAACGCCGCGUGAAGGAUGAAGUAUUUCGGUAUGUAAACUUCGAAAGAAUAGGAAGAAUAAAUGACGGUACUAUUUAUAAGGUCCGGCUAACUACGUGCCAGCAGCCGCGGUAAUACGUAGGGACCAAGCGUUGUUCGGAUUUACUGGGCGUAAAGGGCGCGUAGGCGGCAAUUCAAGUCAUCUGUGAAAUCUCCGGGCUUAACUCGGAACGGUCAGAUGAUACUGCUUUGCUAGAGUGCAGAAGGGGCAAUCGGAAUUCUUGGUGUAGCGGUGAAAUGCGUAGAUAUCAAGAGGAACACCUGAGGUGAAGACGGGUUGCUGGGCUGACACUGACGCUGAGGCGCGAAAGCCAGGGGAGCAAACGGGAUUAGAUACCCAGGUAGUCCCUGAGCGGGCUGGCAAGGCGCAU
rnacentral:rRNA from 1 species